ensembl:antisense Gm16541 predicted gene 16541
GAAUGGUCUGCUUGGAACCUGAGCAGCACUGACUUCUGAGGAAGACUGAGAUGGAGACACCCGCCAGUGUCCUGUCGCUCCCGCAGUCUGAACUUCCCAACAGUCCAUGUCCUUUGGUUUAAAAAGUCUUUGUAAAGUCAACAUCCUUCCUAUCAGAAUGGCCUGCACCUCGUCUCUGGGACUCGGGUUUACUUGCAGAGAUCUUCUGGGGAAGACAACCUUCUUUUUGAUCUUUUGGCACAAAGGCAGGAGGCCCAUGGCCUUCCUCCUGGUCACUUGACUUGAGGAGAGCUGUUCCCCUUCGAGCUUUAGGGAGAUGACCCAGACAGUGAAGUACUACUUGGCAUAACAACACGAGGAUCUGAGUUCAAACUGAAGCACCGUGAGAAUGAAGAAAAAAGCUCUGUCUUGUGGCCUGCAACCUCAGGGACAGGGAAGCAGACAGAAGGAGCCCAGCCAGUCUAGCAAAACAACAAGCUCAAGGUUCAAGCCUACAAACAGAAGUGAAGCAGUGGUGGGGCAGCAUCAAUAAAGGUAGCAGAGGAAAGAAAGAAAAAGGAACCAUCGGCUACUAAAAGUGUCACAUUAAAUGUCACAGGGACUGUGUUAAAUUG